UACGAAGGAUCCAAGCGUUAUCCGGAUUUAUUGGGUUUAAAGGGUGCGUAGGCGGGCUAUUAAGUCAGUGGUGAAAGCCCCAAGCUUAACUUGGGAACUGCCAUUGAUACUGAUGGUCUUGAGUACAUUUGAGGUGGGCGGAAUGUGUCAUGUAGCGGUGAAAUGCUUAGAUAUGACACAGAACACCGAUUGCGAAGGCAGCUCACUAAACUGUAACUGACGCUGAGGCACGAAAGCGUGGGGAGCAAACAGG
rnacentral:rRNA from 1 species